AGCUCCAAUAGCGUAUACUAACGUUGUUGCAGUUAAAAAGCUCGUAGUUGGAUUUCUGUUAGGGUGAGGCGGCCGGCCACUCGUGGUUGUAGCUUGUUAUCACCUUGGCAUCUUGUCACAAUCCGUGAUGGCAUUAACUUGUUGUCGCUGGGGACUGACUCGUUUACUUUGAGAAAAUUAGAGUGUUCAAAGCAGGCUAUCGCCUUGAAUAUAUUAGCAUGGAAUAAUAAUAUAGGACUUCAUGUUCUAUUUGUUGGUUGUUCGAGAACUAAAGUAAUGAUUGAUAGGGACGGUUGGGGGCAUCCGUAUUCUCAAGCGAGAGGUGAAAUUCUUGGACCUUGGGAAGACGAACAGCUGCGAAAGCGUUUGCCUAGGACGUUCUCU
rnacentral:rRNA from 1 species